rnacentral:rRNA from 1 species
UGAGGAAUAUUGCGCAAUGGGGGAAACCCUGACGCAGCGACGCCGCGUGGGUGAUGAAGGCCUUCGGGUUGUAAAGCCCUGUCAGGUGGGAAGAAGUGCAUUAUGGCUAAUAUCCAUAGUGUUUGACGGUACCACCAAAGGAAGCACCGGCUAACUCCGUGCCAGCAGCCGCGGUAAUACGGAGGGUGCAAGCGUUGUUCGGAUUUACUGGGCGUAAAGGGCGCGUAGGCGGUUCUAUAAGCCAGAUGUGAAAGCCCACGGCUCAACCGUGGAAGUGCAUCUGGAACUGUAGGACUUGAGUAUGGGAGAGGAAAGUGGAAUUCCCGGUGUAGAGGUGAAAUUCGUAGAUAUCGGGAGGAAUACCGGUGGCGAAGGCGACUUUCUGGACCAAUACUGACGCUGAGGCGCGAAAGCGUGGGUAGCAAACAGGAUUAGAUACCCGCGUAGUCCCUGAGCGGGCUGGCAAGGCGCAU